rnacentral:rRNA from 1 species
UACGAAGGGGGCUAGCGUUGUUCGGAUUUACUGGGCGUAAAGCGCACGUAGGCGGAUCGUUAAGUCGGGGGUGAAAUCCUGGAGCUCAACUCCAGAACUGCCUUCUAUACUGGCGAUCUAGAGUCCGGAAGAGGUGAGUGGAACUCCUAGUGUAGAGGUGGAAUUCGUAGAUAUUAGGAAGAACACCAGUGGCGAAGGCGGCUCACUGGUCCGGUACUGACGCUGAGGUGCGAAAGCGUGGGGAGCAAACAGG